rnacentral:lncRNA from 1 species
GGAAGGGGAAGCAGGAGCCAGCCCAGGUCCAGCCAGAAAUCACCAAGGGCUCUUGAUGCUGACCCCGGGAUGGGGCCAACCGUGGGCUGCAGGGGCCGGGGGCGGAGAGGCCGUGCGGCUCUGCUCCCAGCUCUUACUCUCGCGGGGCCUCAUCUAGGCUUUGCUCUGUCGCCCGCUGUAGGCCCUGGGCACCAUUUAUGAGCUGCUCUACACCCAGGAGGACAAGCCCACAGUCCACUGGGCCUUUGCAGGGGUCCUGCUGGGGCUGCUGACGCAGCUGCAUUACCUGUUUGAGCUGGGCAUGGUGGAGGGCAUGGCGGAAUACCAGGAAGACAUCCUGGACAUGGAGCCCUGGACACCCUGCAGGUGGGACCUGCGCCCAGCCCCAGGCCUUGCCCCUGCUCCUGGCUCCUCCCACACAUUCGGGAGACCCUGGGAUAGGGGCUGGGAACCCAGGAAAGAAUGCACUCCGGUCCCACCUGUGGGCCUGUGGGGGAGCAGGGGACUGAGUCUCAAUCUUGGCCAGGAGAGGACCCCAAGCGAGGGGAGCCCAGGGUUGACAGCACCCCUGGCCCCAGGUGGAGAGUGACCCCCUCUGAGCCCAGGAGGUCGAGGCUGCAGCGAGCUGUGAUUGCACCACUGCACUCCAGCCUGGGGAGAGUAAGACCCUGUCUCAAAACACAUUUUUUUAUAAAGGCACACUAACUCCUGCCUUCCA